CCUACGGGAGGCAGCAGUAGGGAAUCUUGCGCAAUGGGCGAAAGCCUGACGCAGCGACGCCGCGUGAGGGAUGAAGGUCUUCGGAUCGUAAACCUCUGUCAGCAGAGAAGAACAGUCACUGUACUAAUCAGCAGUGAAUUGACGGUACCUGCAAAGGAAGCACCGGCUAACUCCGUGCCAGCAGCCGCGGUAAUACGGAGGGUGCGAGCGUUAAUCGGAAUUACUGGGCGUAAAGCGCGCGUAGGCGGUAUGUCAAGUCAAGGGUGAAAGCCCCGCGCUCAACGUGGGAACGGCCUUUGAAACUGGCAAACUGGAGUGGGUGAGAGGAUAGUGGAAUUCCAGGUGUAGGAGUGAAAUCCGUAGAUAUAUGGAGGAACAUCAGUGGCGAAGGCGACUAUCUGGCACAUAACUGACGCUGAGGAGCGAAAGCGUGGGUAGCAAACAGGAUUAGAUACCCGAGUAGUC
rnacentral:rRNA from 1 species